AAUGGCUCAUGGGGUGUUUUGUGUUUGGUUUUUAAGCAGGGAAACUUUUUGAAGAGAACUUUAAAAAGUAUUUGGUUUUGAUCUAGUGAAGAUGGAAUAAAAUCACGUCUGCUGGGGGCAGGCCUGCUUCCUCACACAGUUACUGCAGUGGGGUUCAGAAGGAGGUGUGAUAGAAUCUACGGAGCACAGCUAUGAAAGGCCAUAAUCAGGGACUCAUUUUUGUUUACUGAUGUUCAAACCCCCAGACAAACCUACCCAUGGGCUCUGCUCCAGGAGUGCUGCUGGUGCUCACGUGGCACAGAGACCACUCAGCCACGGCAAAGCAGAGGGCUGCAGCAGUGAUGUGCUCCGCAACGUCACGUAUAGCACUUACUGGAAGGUUUUACUUGUUUGGAGGCUCCCAACUGUCUUUGGAAUUAUGUGAUGUUCUUAAGUGUGACGAAACAGCCUUGACUUUUGGCCAAAUCGCUGUCAUAGCCUUUCUUGCAGCAAAGAAGCACAGAGCUGCGGCAGCACACAAAUCCAAUGGAACCACUGGGAUACAAUGCACUCUGAUUUGAGCCUGGCCUUCAUAUUUCACAGCUUUACAACUCAACCCAUACGCUUUCAAGGCUUUGAAAUAUGCAGGGAAAGAUGCAUGCGUGGACACUGAUAAAUGCCACCAAGUUCCCAACAGCUCAGAUUUUGUAGGAGACCUCGGUCUGAUCCAAGAAAUUUCCUCAUCUUCAUCGUGGUCAUUUCAAUAGUUUCCUUACGUCUACAGUUCUUUGCCCACUGGUAGAGAAGAGUUCACAUGUGGGGUAAGUCAGAAUCCUGCUUGGUUGCACACCUGUUACACUCGAGCAGCAGUUUCUCCCUGGCCUGUGUAUGUAGCUCCAUGCAUCUGGAUGCAAACCUAUGCAUUGGGAAGAGCCUCUUUAGAGACUUCCAGUGCUCCUGCAGGGCUGUUUGCACAUCUGGGCUGUAGGUCAGUGCUGGCCAACCUCUGCAUUGUGAAGGCGCUGUCUGGGAGCUGCAGUUUGAUCCUAACCUUUGAUCUGAGCACAGCGUGGCUUUA
ensembl:lncRNA